GACGAACGCUGGCGGCGUGCUUACCCCAUGCAAGUCGAACGGAAAGGCCCUGCUUUUGUGGGGUGCUCGAGUGGCGAACGGGUGAGUAACACGUGAGUAAUCUGCCCUUGACUUUGGGAUAUCUUGAGGAAACUGGGGCUAAUACCGGCUAGGAGCUCCUGCUGCAUGGUGGGGGUUGGACAGUUUCGGCGGUUGGGGAUGGACUCGCGGCUUAUCAGCUUGUUGGUGGGGUAGUGGCUUACCAAGGCUUUGACGGGUAGCCGGCCUGAGAGGGUGACCGGCCACAUUGGGACUGAGAUGCGGCCCAGACUCCUACGGGAGGCAGCAGUGGGGAAUAUUGCACAAUGGGCGGAAGCCUGAUGCAGCAACGCCGCGUGCGGGAUGACGGCCUUCGGGUUGUAAACCGCUUUCGCCUGUGACGAAGCGUGAGUGGCGGUAAUGGGUAAAGAAGCACCGGCUAACUACGUG
rnacentral:rRNA from 1 species